GAUGAACGCUGGCGGCGUGCUUAACACAUGCAAGUCGAACGGUGAAGCAGAGCUUGCUCUGUGGAACAGCGGCGAACGGGUGAGUAACACGUGAGCAACCUGCCCCUGACUCUGGGAUAAGCGCUGGAAACGGCGUCUAAUACCGGAUAUGAGCUGCGAUCGAAUGGUCAGCUGUUGGAAAGAUUUUUCGGCCUGGGCUGGGCUCACGGCCUAUCAGCGUGUUGGUGAGGUAAUGGCUCACCAAGGCGUCGACGGGUAGCCGGCCUGAGAGGGUGACCGGCCACACGGGCACUGAGACACGGCCCAGACACCUACGGGAGGCAGCGGUGGGGAAUAUUGCGCAAUGGGCGAAAGCCUGAUGCAGGAACGCCGCGUGAGGGAUGACGGGCUUCGGGUUGUAAACCUCUUUUAGCAGGGAAGAAGCGAAAGUGACGGUACCUGGAGAAAAAGCGCCGGCUAACUACGUGCCAGCAGCCGCAGUAACAC
rnacentral:rRNA from 1 species